rnacentral:rRNA from 1 species
AACGAACGCUGGCGGCAUGCCUAACACAUGCAAGUCGAACGAGACCUUCGGGUCUAGUGGCGCACGGGUGCGUAACGCGUGGGAAUCUGCCCUUGGGUUCGGAAUAACAGUUAGAAAUGACUGCUAAUACCGGAUAAUGUCUUCGGACCAAAGAUUUAUCGCCCAGGGAUGAGCCCGCGUAGGAUUAGCUAGUUGGUGAGGUAAAGGCUCACCAAGGCGACGAUCCUUAGCUGGUCUGAGAGGAUGAUCAGCCACACUGGGACUGAGACACGGCCCAGACUCCUACGGGAGGCAGCAGUGGGGAAUAUUGGACAAUGGGCGAAAGCCUGAUCCAGCAAUGCCGCGUGAGUGAUGAAGGCCUUAGGGUUGUAAAGCUCUUUUACCCGGGAUGAUAAUGACAGUACCGGGAGAA